rnacentral:rRNA from 1 species
CCUACGGGAGGCAGCAGUGAGGAAUAUUGGUCAAUGGGCGCGAGCCUGAACCAGCCAAGUCGCGUGAGGGAAGACGGUCCUAUGGAUUGUAAACCUCUUUUGUCGGGGAGCAAAAGACGCCACGCGUGGCGUUCCGAGAGUACCCGACGAACAAGCAUCGGCUAACUCCGUGCCAGCAGCCGCGGUAAUACGGAGGAUGCGAGCGUUAUCCGGAUUUAUUGGGUUUAAAGGGUGCGCAGGCGGAAGAUCAAGUCAGCGGUAAAAUUGAGAGGCUCAACCUCUUCGAGCCGUUGAAACUGGUUGUCUUGAGUGAGCGAGAAGUAUGCGGAAUGCGUGGUGUAGCGGUGAAAUGCAUAGAUAUCACGCAGAACUCCGAUUGCGAAGGCAGCAUACCGGCGCUCAACUGACGCUCAUGCACGAAAGUGUGGGUAUCGAACAGGAUUAGAUACCCUAGUAGUC